AUGGCGAAGGUCGCUGCCAUGGCCAUGGAGAAGGUGGACGCCAAGGACCGGGAGAAGAUCGAGGCCGUCCGCAAGGUGAUGCGCAAGCAGGCGCCGCUCUCCCCCAAGCAGGCGGAGUACUGCAACGACGCGUGCGUGGAGCGGUUCCUCCGGGCCAAGGGCGACAACGUGAAGAAGGCGGCCAAGACCCUGCGGGCCGUCCUCUCCUGGAGGGAGACCAUCGGAGCAGAUCACAUCAUCGCCGACGAGUUCUCCGGCGAGCUGUCCGAAGGCAUGGCCUACGUCGCCGGGCACGACGACGAGAACCGCCCCGUCCUGAUGUUCAAAAUCAAGCAGGAUGACUACCCCAAGUACCAGCCUCAGAAAUCGUUUGUGCGGUUCCUGGUGUUCACGCUGGAGGUGGCGGUGGCGUCCAUGAACCGCUUCGUGGACCAGUUCGUGCUCCUCUUCGACGCAAGCUUUUUCCGGUCGGCGUCGGCUUUCCUCAACCUCCUCAUGGGCACGCUCAAGAUCGUCGCCGACUACUACCCCGGUCGCCUCCACCGCGCCUUCGUCAUCGACCCGCCCUCCCUCUUCUCCGUCAUGUGGAAGGGAGUGCGGCCGUUCGUGGACCUGGCGCCGGCGACGGCGGUGGUGAGCUCGCUGGACUUCGAGGACUCGCUGGAGGACGCGUCCUUCACGGCCUACCCGCGGACGGCGUCGCUGCGCUUCGAGCCGUCCGUGGCGGCCGUGCUGACGACGGGGAAGGGAGGAACCGCCGUGGGCUCCGCCUCGUCGCGCUUCGCCUUCAGCGUGUCGGACAACGCGCUCAAGCCGUGGUACCUCUCCACCACGCCGGCGCCGGGCCCGCGCUCCGUCGUGCCGGCCUCCUCCAGCCCGUCCCUCGUCGGCGCGUCCCCGCUCUCCGCGCGCUCCUUCUCCUUCGCCUCGCCCGCCGCGCGCUCCACGCCGACACCCGUCCAGCAGCAGCGCACCGCCCGCGCGCCGCCGACGCCGUCCGCCGCCAAGGGAGGGCAGAAGACCCCCUCCCCUCUGCCGCAGCAGCAGCAGUUCCCGCGGACGCCGAGGCCGUCGUUCCUGCAGUCGCCGUUCACGUUCCGCAAGGACGGGCAGGCCAGCCGGGUGGAGCGCGAGCGCGAGUCCUUCCUGCCCUUCCUGCGCUUCUACCGCCGGCCCUACGACGAGAUAACCUACCGCGCCAUGAUGCGGCGGCCGCUCGGCGGGCUGAUAGCCAUCGUCGCCGAGGACUUCAGGCCCAUGUCCGCCCAGCAGCCGCUGCGCCGGCACGCCGGAGCGCUCCAUCACCAGCACCACCACCAUCAGCACCAGCACCAGCACCAGAGGAUCUGA
rnacentral:rRNA from 1 species